UACGUAGGGCGCGAGCGUGUCCGGAAUUAUUGGGCGUAAAGAGCUCGUAGGCGGCCUGUUGCGUCUGCUGUGAAAUCCCGGGGCUUAACCCCGGGCGUGCAGUGGAUACGGGCAGGCUGGAGGCAGGCAGGGGAGAAUGGAAUUCCCGGUGUAGCGGUGAAAUGCGCAGAUAUCGGAAGGAACGCCGGUGGCGAAAGCGACACACUGGGUCUCAACUGACGCUGAGGCACGAAAGCCAGGGGAGCGAACGGG
rnacentral:rRNA from 1 species